GGCGGACGGGUGAGUAACACGUAGGUGACCUGCCCCGAAGCAGGGGAUAACGGCUCGAAAGGGCCGCUAAUACCCAAAAGGGUCGCGUGUCAAAGCGCGAUCAGAGUCAUGGCGUUUCGGGAGGGGCCUGCGGCCCAUCAGCUAGUUGGUAGGGUAAUGGCCUACCAAGGCGACGACGGGUAGGGGGCCUGAGAGGGUGACCCCCCACAUUGGCACUGACACACGGGCCAAACUCCUACGGGAGGCAGCAGUGAGGAAUAUUGCGCAAUGAGCGAAAGCUAGACGCAGCAACGCCGCGUGGACGAUGAAGGCCUUCGGGUCGUAAAGUCCUUUUCAGGGGGACGAGAGAGGACGGUACCCCUGGAAUAAGUCACGGCUAACUACGUGCCAGCAGCCGCGGUAAAACGUAGGUGGCAAGCGUUAUCCGGAUUCACUGGGCGUAAAGCGCCUGCAGGCGGUCUCGUAAGUGGGACGUGAAAUCUCUUGGCUUAACUGAGAGGAGCCGUUCCAUACUGCGGGACUAGAGGGCAGAAGAGGGAAGCGGAAUUCC
rnacentral:rRNA from 1 species